rnacentral:rRNA from 1 species
GAAACGACUGCUAAGACUGGAUAGGAGAUAAGAAGGCAUCUUCUUAUUUUUAAAAGACCUAGCAAUAGGUAUGCUUAAGGAGGGGCUUGCGUCACAUUAGUUAGUUGGUAGGGUAAAAGCCUACCAAGACAAUGAUGUGUAGCCGGGCUGAGAGGUUGAACGGCCACAUUGGAACUGAGACACGGUCCAAACUCCUACGGGAGGCAGCAGUAGGGAAUUUUCGGCAAUGGAGGAAACUCUGACCGAGCAACGCCGCGUGAACGAUGAAGUAUUUCGGUACGUAAAGUUCUUUUAUUAAGGAAGAAAAGAUGGUGGAAAAACCAUUAUGACGGUACUUAAUGAAUAAGCCCCGGCUAACUAUGUGCCAGCAGCCGCGGUAAUACAUAGGGGGCGAGCGUUAUCCGGAAUUAUUGGGCGUAAAGGGUGCGUAGGCGGUUCAAUAAGUUUAUGGUCUAAGUGCAAUGCUUAACAUUGUGAUGCUAUAAAAACUGUUUGACUAGAGUUGGAUAGAGGCAAGUGGAAUUCCAUGUGUAGUGGUAAAAUGCGUAAAUAUAUGGAGGAACACCAUGAGCGAAGGCGGCUUGCUGGGUCUUAACUGACGCUGAGGCACGAAAGCGUGGGGAGCAAACAGGAUUAGAUACCCUGGUAGUCCACGCCGUAAACGAUGAGUACUAGACGUUGGGUUAAACCAGUGUCGAAGUUAACACAUUAAGUACUCCGCCUGAGUAGUACGUACGCAAGUAUGAAACUUAAAGGAAUUGACGGGACUCCGCACAAGCGGUGGAUCAUGUUGUUUAAUUCGAAGGUACCCGAAAAACCUCACCAGGUCUUGACAUGUUUCUGCAAAGCUGUAGAAAUACAGCGGAGGUUAUCAGUUGCACAGGUGGUGCAUGGUUGUCGUCAGCUCGUGUCGUGAGAUGUUGGGUUAAGUCCCGCAACGAGCGCAACCCUUGUUGUUAAUUGCCAUCAUUAAGUUGGGGACUUUAGCAAGACUGCCAGUGAUAAAUUGGAGGAAGGUGGGGACGACGUCAAAUCAUCAUGCCCCUUAUGACCUGGGCUACAAACGUGAUACAAUGGCUGUUACAAAGGGUAGCUGAAGCGCAAGCUUUUGGCAAAUCUCAGAAAAACAGUCUCAGUUCGGAUUGAAGUCUGCAACUCGACUUCAUGAAGUUGGAAUCGCUAGUAAUCGCGAAUCAGCAUGUCGCGGUGAAUACGUUCGCGGGGUUUGUACACACCGCGCGUCA